UACGGGGGGAGCAAGCGUUGUUCGGAUUUACUGGGCGUAAAGGGCGCGUAGGCGGUCGUGACAAGUCACUUGUGAAAAUCUCCCGGGGCUUAACUCGGAACGGUCAAGUGAUACUGUCGGACUAGAGUACAGAAGGGGCAACUGGAAUUCUCGGUGUAGCGGUGAAAUGCGUAGAUAUCGGGAGGAACACCAGAGGCGAAGGCGGCGACCUGGACAGUUACUGACACUCAACUACGAAAGCGUGGGGAGCAAACAGG
rnacentral:rRNA from 1 species